rnacentral:lncRNA from 1 species
ACCAAGUCUAUUGCAUCCAAGAUUUUCAACCACAAGAGAGUUUUAGAGGCUUUUAACCUCAAAGAUACAAAAUUCAAGCCUCCGGAUUGCUCAUGUACAUCGUCACAAUACAAUUACAGUCCAGCUGGUCAUAUCAUUACUGGUGACCUUGGCAUCGUUACCAAUGAACAACUAAGAGAGUUGUUAGCCAAGGGACCAAAAUAUAGAAUUC